rfam:Ornithorhynchus anatinus chromosome X5, whole genome shotgun sequence.
ACCCUCUCAGGGUCGCACAUGGAGAGUUUCCAGUACUCUACCAGCCUCGACUAUGGGAGGGAGAGUCAAGCAGAGGCAUCACCAUUCUAUUCCAAGUUUGGGCAGUGACUAGUAAGUGGAAGGCAAUCUGCUACAAAU